rnacentral:snRNA from 1 species
AUACCUUUCUCGGCCUUUUGGCUAAGAUCAAGUGUAGUAUCUGUUCUUAUCAGUUUAAUAUCUGAUACGUGGACCAUUGGUCCACAUGAUAUUAAAUUAAUUUUUUUAGGGGGGGCCCAUUCCAGUAGCUUGCUACUGGGGUCCUCGAGCGUCGCCCAUGCGUUGCACUACUGCAAGGGCCUGGCGCGCCCCAC